GACGAACGCUGGCGGCGUGCUUAACACAUGCAAGUCGAACGGAAAGGCCCUGCUUUUGUGGGGUGCUCGAGUGGCGAACGGGUGAGUAACACGUGUGUAACCUGCCCUUGACUUUGGGAUAACUUCAGGAAACUGGGGCUAAUACAGGAUAGGAGCUCCUGCUGCAUGGUGGGGGUUGGAAAGUUUCGGCGGUUGGGGAUGGACUCGCGGCUUCUCAGCUUGUUGGUGGGGUAGUGGCUUACCAAGGCUUUGACGGGUAGCCGGCCUGAGAGAGUGACCGGCCGCAUUGGGACUGAGAUACGGCCAAGAGUCGUGCAGGAGGCAGCAGUGGGGAAUAUUGGACGAUGGGCCGAAGCCUGAUGCAGCAACGCCGCGUGCGGGAUAACGGCCGUCAGGUUGUAAACCGCAUUGGCCUAGUACGAAGCGUGAGUGACGGUAAUGGGUAAAGAAACACCGGGUAACUACGUG
rnacentral:rRNA from 1 species